ACGAGCUGAGGCCUCUGGGUCACCUCCCACCCGUGUCUAUCGUACCUUGUUGCUUCGGCGGGCCCGCCGUUUCGACGGCCGCCGGGGAGGCCUUGCGCCCCCGGGCCCGCGCCCGCCGAAGACCCCAACAUGAACGCUGUUCUGAAAGUAUGCAGUCUGAGUUGAUUAUCGUAAUCAGUUAAAACUUUCAACAACGGAUCUCUUGGUUCCGGCAUCGAUGAAGAACGCAGCGAAAUGCGAUAAGUAAUGUGAAUUGCAGAAUUCAGUGAAUCAUCGAGUCUUUGAACGCACAUUGCGCCCCCUGGUAUUCCGGGGGGCAUGCCUGUCCGAGCGUCAUUGCUGCCCUCAAGCACGGCUUGUGUGUUGGGCCCCCGUCCCCCUCUCCCGGGGGACGGGCCCGAAAGGCAGCGGCGGCACCGCGUCCGGUCCUCGAGCGUAUGGGGCUUUGUCACCUGCUCUGUAGGCCCGGCCGGCGCCAGCCGACACCCAACUUUAUUUUUCUAAGGUUGACCUCGGAUCAGGUAGGGAUACCCGCUGAACUUAAGCAUAUCU
rnacentral:rRNA from 1 species